AGUCCGGCUGGCCGCUCACGCGUCGGGCCCCCAUUUACUCUCGUUACUGAGGAGACACGGCUCCAGUUUUGACCCGACUACGGUUGUUUUCUUCGUGUGUACCGCGAAAUGCUGAUGACGUCCGGUUCCGCGCAGUUUUUUUCCUAUUUCGUUUCCAACCACAGUUGUGCGGUUCACAGAUUUUUCCCUUGGGAUGUGUUUUCCAUACCUCCAAGCCCACUCUCAGAGCCUUGGGGCCCCAUAAAACUUCAUGCGCAGCUGCUUUCUGGUAUUUGCAGACCUGGAAGGCUUCUCGUAUUCUUAAUUUGGGGAAGAGAGACAUAGGUUUCCUUGUACAACGGGAUGAGGAUUUAAGAGCAGAACGACACUGAUAUUUUAAAGGCGAGGGUAUUUAGAUUUGUGGAGCUGAAACUUGCCUGAAAAGGGAGACAAAAUUUGGAAGUUUGUUGUGUGCAGUUUCUGCCCCUUACCCCCGCCCUUCACUUUUAAACUGCGCAUAUAUCAACAAUAGUUACGGUUGUUGCAGCAGUCUAAAUUUGAUUAUCAGAAUUGACCCUAGGCAUGAAUUUUUUUUUAAAUAUACCAAUGUCGUGUUAUAUACACUUAUACCAUUAUGUCCAGACUUCUCUUAAGCAUAGUUCGUGGUGGGCAGUUUUGUGGUCAUUUAGGGAUGAACUUGGGUAGGGAAAGCUGAGCAUACAUAAUUUAUUUUAGGAAUGCACCAGUUCUGCCAACAUUUAUCAGAAGUCACGUUUUUAAAAAGCUAUUCUGGAACUGAAGAUGUCAUUGGUUUAUAAGAGGAAAAUGGAAGCCAAAAGCUUACACCUCAUGCUCUAUCUUUAAAAAUUAAGGUGGCAGACACAAUGAGUAGAAGGCUUUUAUGUUACCAGAAUGAAGGCUUAAAAUCUGUCAUUUUAUUGACUCGGCUUUCUUUUUAGAAAUUUCUUUAAGAUAUAAAAGCAAUGUGGAAUAUCACUCUUUCACACUCUUAAAAUAGAUUACGUUCUCUGGAACUUCUCUAAUCUGAAAUGUGUUCAAAAAGGAAAAAGAUCUUUAAAAUACGCCAGUUAGUCUAUGGUAUAAUAUUAAACACUAUUCAUCACUAGAGAAGUUAUGGUGGUAUACCCUCCCCUUUCUCAGAUGUCCACCUUAAUGCCAGAAAUGAGCGGAGUUUCCCUUUGUUGUGCAAAAUGACUGUGUCCUUGAGGGAUGUUUGGAUGCUCUUGGUAAACCGGAAUCAGCCAGAAGCAUAUCCGGUGUUAGCCUUGUUGUGUCAUCAACAUUACAACAGUGAGGAAACCCACAUAUUCCAAUGAAAGAGGAAAACUUAAAGAAGAAGUUUCCAGUGUAUUUUCUUUGAGAUAUAUUUAUUCCUAUGACCUCAGAAGAUCAGCUUUUACCGUCCAAGGUUCACUUUGCCUAAAAGCUGAUUGUUCCUGUGGAAACAGUAGCAUCGGAUGACCCUACAAACAAAGCAUUAUGACAUCAUCAGAGCCAACAACCUGGCAUGACAGAUACUAAUAAGGAAAAAAGAGGUUACAAGAAUUCUGACACUCAUCACAGUGGAUCCAAUAUCUGGUCCCUUGGGUUUCAUAUAUGUUAGAAGUAUCUUCUCAGGAGGGAAAAGUCAAUGCCAGUCAUAUCCUUUCUAGCUAUUAGAAAUGUCCAUCAGCUUACGAGGAGAUUCUCCCUCAUCUCACAAACUACCUGCAUCUCCACUUCCCUGGAAGAAAAAAAAAAUCUGGACAUACCCAAGCUGUGUAUGUGCCUGAGAUCUUCCCUUCCAAGUCUCCUAGGGGCUGAUCUCAGCAGAGAAAUGGAGACAGUUCAGUCACCAACAGUUUGUUACUGGAUUUUGGAAAAGGUACCAAAGUAAGAAUCCAAGGCUUGUAUUCUUAUCUUAGCUCUGUGAUUAACAAGCUUAGGUAAGGCUUCUAAUCUUUCUGGGUUUCUUUCCUUAUCAAUAAAAUGCGCAAGUCAGACUGCAUAAUCUUUAUGGUUUCUUCCAAAUUUCAAAUUCCAUGCAUCUAUUAAAGAGAAUCAAAAUUGUGCAUGAUUUGUCUAAAAUACC
ensembl:lncRNA long intergenic non-protein coding RNA 1617